ACCCAAUCCCGAUUCGGGGAGGUAGUGACAAGAAAUAGCAAACUGGAUGAAUUUUCAUCACAGUAUUGCAAUGAGAACAAUGUAAAUGCUUUAUCGAUUAACAAUUGGAGGGCAAGUCUGGUGCCAGCAGCCGCGGUAAUUCCAGCUCCAAUAGCGUAUAUUAAAGUUGUUGCAGUUAAAAAGCUCGUAGUUGAACUUCUGUACAUUCCCAGUUCUGGCUUCGGUCAAGCUGUGGAGUGUGCAUCCGCUUGCAAACUUAGACCGGCCUUCACUGGUCGACUAAGGGAGUAAGCCCUUUACUUUGAAAAAAUUAGAGUGUUUCAGGCAGGCAAUGGCUCGAAUACAUUAGCAUGGAAUAAUGGAAUAGGACUUUUGUCCAUUUGGUUGGUUAUUGGACAUAAGUAAUGAUUAAAAGGGACAGUUGGGGGCAUUAGUACUUAAUUGUCAGAGGUGAAAUUCUUGGAUUUAUUAAAGACUAACUUAUGCGAAAGCAUUUGCCAAGGAUGUUUUCAUUAAUCAAGAAC
rnacentral:rRNA from 1 species